rnacentral:rRNA from 1 species
UACGUAGGGGGCAAGCGUUGUCCGGAAUUAUUGGGCGUAAAGAGCGCGUAGGCGGUCCGAUAAGUCGGCUGUGAAAGUCCAGGGCUCAACCCUGGAAAGCCGGCCGAUACUGUCGGACUAGAGUCCGGAAGAGGCAAGUGGAAUUCCCGGUGUAGCGGUGAAAUGCGCAGAUAUCGGGAGGAACACCAAUGGCGAAGGCAGCUUGCUGGGACGGUACUAACGCUGAGGCGCGAAAGCGUGGGGAGCAAACAGG